CCUUCAUGAAGCUGGAAUUGCUAGUAAUGGCAGGUCAGCAUACUGCCGUGAAUACGUUCCCGGGCCUUGUACACACCGCCCGUCACACCAUGAGAGUUGGAAAUACCCGAAGCCUGUGAGCUAACAGUAAUGAGGCAGCAGUCGAAGGUAGAGCCAAUGAUUGGGGUGAAGUCGUAACAAGGUACC
rnacentral:rRNA from 1 species